rnacentral:rRNA from 1 species
GACGAACGCUGGCGGCGUGCUUAACACAUGCAAGUCGAACGGAAAGGCCCUGCUUUUGUGGGGUGCUCGAGUGGCGAACGGGUGAGUAACACGUGAGUAACCUGCCCUUGACUUUGGGAUAACUUCAGGAAACUGGGGCUAAUACCGGAUAGGAGCUCCUGCUGCAUGGUGGGGGUUGGAAAGUUUCGGCGGUUGGGGAUGGACUCGCGGCUUAUCAGCUUGUUGGUGGGGUAGUGGCUUACCAAGGCUUUGACGGGUACCCGGCCUGAGAGGGUGACCGGCCACAUUGGGACUGAGAUACGGCCCAGACUCCUACGGGAGGCAGCAGUGGGGAAUAUUGCACAAUGGGCGGAAGCCUGAUGCAGCAACGCCGCGUGCGGGAUGACGGCCUUCGGGUUGUAAACCGCUUUCUCCUGUGACGAAGCGUGAGUGACGGUAAUGGGUAAAGAAGCACCGGCUAACUACGUG